rnacentral:rRNA from 1 species
UACAGAGGUCUCAAGCGUUGUUCGGAUUCAUUGGGCGUAAAGGGUGCGUAGGUGGCGCGGUAAGUCGGGUGUGAAAUUUCGGAGCUUAACUCCGAAACUGCAUUCGAUACUGCCGUGCUUGAGGACUGGAGAGGAGACUGGAAUUUACGGUGUAGCAGUGAAAUGCGUAGAUAUCGUAAGGAAGACCAGUGGCGAAGGCGGGUCUCUGGACAGUUCCUGACGCUGAGGCGCGAAAGCGUGGGGAGCAAACGGG